UACAGAGGGUGCGAGCGUUGUCCGGAAUCACUGGGCGUAAAGGGCGCGUAGGUGGCGACCUAAGUCGAUGGUGAAAGCUCGCCGCUCAACGGCGAGUCGGCCACCGAUACUGGGUUGCUUGAGCACUGUAGAGGCUAAUGGAAUUCCGGGUGUAGCGGUGGAAUGCGUAGAGAUCCGGAAGAACACCGGUGGCGAAGGCGGUUAGCUGGGCAGUUGCUGACACUGAGGCGCGACAGCGUGGGGAGCAAACAGG
rnacentral:rRNA from 1 species